UGGGAUCGCCCUUACUCCUACGGGAGGCAGCAGUGAGGAAUAUUGCACAAUGGGGGAAACCCUGAUGCAGCAACGCCGCGUGGAGGAUGACGCAUUUCGGUGUGUAAACUCCUUUUAUGAGUCAAGAAAAUGACGGUAGCUCAUGAAUAAGCACCGGCUAACUCCGUGCCAGCAGCCGCGGUAAUAAGGGCGAUCC
rnacentral:rRNA from 1 species